rnacentral:piRNA from 1 species
UAACUAUCCCUCGUACAUUCGCAAAU